GACGAACGCUGGCGGCGUGCCUAAUACAUGCAAGUUGAGCGAUGAAGCUUGGUGCUUGCACCAAUUUGAAGAGCAGCGAACGGGUGAGUAACGCGUGGGGAAUCUGCCUUUGAGCGGGGGACAACAUUUGGAAACGAAUGCUAAUACCGCAUAACAACUUUAAACAUAAGUUUUAAGUUUGAAAGAUGCAAUUGCAUCACUCAAAGAUGAUCCCGCGUUGUAUUAGCUAGUUGGUGAGGUAAAGGCUCACCAAGGCGAUGAUACAUAGCCGACCUGAGAGGGUGAUCGGCCACAUUGGGACUGAGACACGGCCCAAACUCCUACGGGAGGCAGCAGUAGGGAAUCUUCGGCAAUGGACGAAAGUCUGACCGAGCAACGCCGCGUGAGUGAAGAAGGUUUUCGGAUCGUAAAACUCUGUUGGUAGAGAAGAACGUUGGUGAGAGUGGAAAGCCCAUCAAGUGACGGUAACUACCCAGAAAGGGACGGCUAACUACGUG
rnacentral:rRNA from 1 species